rnacentral:rRNA from 1 species
AGUGAACGCUGGCGGUAGGCCUAACACAUGCAAGUCGAACGGCAGCACAGUAAGAGCUUGCUCUUACGGGUGGCGAGUGGCGGACGGGUGAGGAAUACAUCGGAAUCUACUUUUUCGUGGGGGAUAACGUAGGGAAACUUACGCUAAUACCGCAUACGACCUACGGGUGAAAGCAGGGGAUCUUCGGACCUUGCGCGAUUGAAUGAGCCGAUGUCGGAUUAGCUAGUUGGCGGGGUAAAGGCCAACCAAGGCGACGAUCCGUAGCUGGUCUGAGAGGAUGUUCGGCAACACGGAAACUGAGAAAGGGCCAAGCCCCCUAGGGGAGCCAGCAGGGGGAAAUAUGGACAAAGGGGCGCAAGCCUGACCCAGCCAUCCCGCGUGGGUGAAGAGGGCCUUCGGGUGGUAAACCCCUUUUGUUGGGAAGAAAAGCAGCAGGUUAAUACCCCGCUGUUCUGACGGUACCCAAAGAAUAAGCACCGGCUAACUUCGUG